GAUUUCAACUGAAAAGUCAUCAACAACAAAGUUGUAUAACUCAUCAGUAUCUAUAAAUUUUAUUUUAGUCAUUUCUUCAUCCGAUAAAGUGAUACUAACAUUGUUCACAGAAAUUACAUAUCUCUGUUAUAGUUUAUAAACUAUAUAAGAAUAUGUACAUUUUGUGAACAAUGUUACAAAUCACUUUCUCGGAUGAAGAAAUGACUGAAAUAAAAGUUAUAGAUCUUGAUGAGUUAUACCACUUUGUUAUUGAUGACUUUUUCAGUUAAAAUC
rnacentral:pre_miRNA from 1 species